GCGCGGGUGGCGGAAUUGGUAGACGCGCAUGUUUGAGGGGCAUGUGACGCAAGUCGUGAGAGUUCAAGUCUCUCCCCGCGCA
rnacentral:tRNA from 2 species